UUCAUUUGACGUUUAUGAAAA
rnacentral:piRNA from 1 species